GCCAGAUAACAUGUAUAUGUAUUCAAGAAUGUGAAAACAUGUUUGAGUUACAGACGGAAAUUCUCAGAAAUUUUUGAAAGAUAUUGUUUCUAAAUAAAUUUUGACAUCUGAACAGAUUUUCAGCGCAGUCAAAUAAAUAGAAUGGUCAAAGAAGAAAGGAAGGUGCAGUACAUUAAUAUUUUGGAAAAUUCUGAACGUUUUGCAGAGUACUGCAGGGAUCAAAAUUCUGAAACAACGACAAUGGAGAACCAUGUUACAUCUGCACUGCAAUAUGCGGAAAAAGCCUCUGUAAUUCUAUUAUUCUUUGGUGAUAUCACCAUGACUAAGUACCAUUUUUGCCACAUGUAAAACCAUGACACAUAUUGUAACCUCAUGUCCCAGAGGGAGAUGUAGCACAUCAACAAAGCCUCGCGCUGCCGAUGUGUCCCUAAGAAGCCUAGUUACCCUUUGGACACAUUGUCUAUCCAAGAAAUGUUGUGUUCUAUACUAUCCCGAUGACUCCUCGUCCUAAAUUUGUAAUAGUAUAGUAUUUUUGUUUUUUAAACACGUAAUAGUAUAGUAGAAUAACACACUGUAGAACAACAUAAGCAUGUGUUCUAUUUUAGUGCUAUAUUGCUACCUAUAUGAACUAUAAAUGCUUGUUGGAAGUAACCCAGUUUCAUACACACCAGUAUUAUUUAACGAGUCACAGCUGAUAUACGCGACCAGACUACUUUGAUUUUAUUCUGUUUUAUACAGUACUCGUUCUAUUUCAAUGAGUUCACGAAUUGGACCAGUGAGUACUAUAUGAAUCGGGAUAAAUUGUACUAGCUAGUGAUCCAAUAUAAUUGGUGUAGCUGUUUCCCUGUACUCGAAGGUGUUGCCCUAAAUGCUAACAAUCUCUCCCAUAACAUAUCAAGUGGCUCAAUUCUAGUGAUCCAGCGUAGUGUGAGGCUUAAAAAAAGACCAUCUCUAUAAUAAGUGUAUGAGGCUUACAAAAAUAUAUCCAUAGUUCAACGAAUCAAGAAAAUCUUUGUCUCAAGCGGUGAUUCCGUCUCAAUCGAGAUAUCUCCAACCUUCUUGGUCACCCUUACACCCCGGGUGGAAGCUGAACCAUGGCUCACGCCACCCUGUAGCCGAUGUAGCCUCGCCACUUGAUGUUGUGAACACAGAGGCAGAAUCCUGUGCUGAUAUAAGAGAAAACCUAUCUUGUACUGUCCUGAUGCCUCCCAAUUCUAGCGCUGCUACAACAGUGGAAGCCCAGAACAUGUGAAACAAUCGAAGCAACUAGCUGGGUUUUCGCAUGUGGCCAGCCACGCUGUAUGCGUCGUAAGGCAUAUGAAAAUCAUAUAUCUCAUAGGUCGGGUGGGCGGGCGCCUGUAAUUAAAAGUCGAUUUUCAUAGAUAAGUCUCUUAAGAUAUAUCUGUCUACGAAAAUAUAUUUUCACAUACAGCUAAUCUAUGUUGUCCCGAUAACUUACGUAGUAGUAGUAGUAGUGUGCAUUAUUAUCGUUGUUAUAUUCUGCGGCUAAUUAAAAUUCUGAGUUCCUCACUGAAAGAUACGAACAACAUAUUUAGUUACAUAUUGAGGCAGAAUUUGUUCCACGAUAAAUUCAA